CAAUUUGGAAGCGCUCAGAGCUGACUCAGAAAAUCGGUGUUGGAUUAGCCAGCAAUACUUGAGAAGAAGGAAAGAAUGGAAAUCUGAACGGUUUAACUAGGGUUUUAUUUAUUCAUUUUACUUUACUUUUCAAUACUCUGUAAGAACACAAGAAAUGUGGAGAAGCAAUUCGCUUGUUAGCAAGGGAUUGAGAUCCCACAGUUACCUGCGCAAGUCAUUGGCCUCCAGAACCAUCGCAACCCUCCCCUCGUCUACGUUAAUUCGGACCCAACACCUCUCUUCGUCCAACAAUCUUUACCGUCCUCUUUCUUCUCCGCUAUUCACCACCGCUAUACGUUUUCUCCGCACCGGCCGGGAUCCCAGCAUCAGUUAUGAGAUUACCCCGCCGAUGAACUGGGGCAUACGAAUCGUGCCGGAGAAGAAGGCCUACGUCAUUGAGCGAUUUGGAAAGUACGUUAAGACACUUCCAUCGGGAAUCCAUUUCUUGAUCCCAUUUGUGGAUAGAAUUGCUUAUGUUCAUUCCUUGAAAGAAGAGGCCAUUCCCAUUCCUGACCAAUCUGCUAUCACCAAGGAUAAUGUCAGUAUUCUCAUCGACGGUGUCCUUUAUGUCAAGAUUGUGGACCCUAAACUGGCCUCUUAUGGUGUGGAGAAUCCCAUCUAUGCUGUUAUUCAGCUUGCACAGACCACCAUGCGCAGUGAGCUCGGAAAGAUUACUCUGGACAAGACCUUUGAGGAAAGGGACACUCUUAAUGAAAAGAUUGUGGAGGCCAUCAAUGUGGCUGCAAAGGACUGGGGCCUCCAGUGCCUCCGUUAUGAAAUUAGGGAUAUUUCUCCACCUCGUGGAGUGAGAGCUGCAAUGGAGAUGCAGGCAGAAGCAGAACGUAAAAAGAGAGCUCAAGUUCUUGAAUCUGAAGGAGAAAGGCAGGCCAACAUUAAUAUUGCUGAUGGUAAGAAAGCUGCUGUGAUCUUGGCAUCAGAAGCUGCAAAGAUGGAUCAGGUUAACAGAGCAUUAGGUGAGGCAGAAGCCAUCCUAGCUAAAGCACAAGCAACAGCCAAAGGACUUGCGCUGGUGUCAAAGGCCCUUAAAGAAACUGGGGGAGUAGAGGCAGCAAGUUUGAAAAUUGCUGAGCAAUAUAUUCAAGCCUUCGGUAAUAUUGCGAAGGAGGGGACAACAAUGUUGCUUCCUAGUGCUAGUGCCAAUCCUGCUAAUAUAAUGGCUCAAGCUCUGACUAUGUACAAAAGCCUACUUGGCAAUGUUUCAAAUGAUACUUCUCAUGAGUCAUCCCUAGAGUUGACAGAAGGCGUGAAGGACAGUGCUUCCUCUGGAGAAGCUAUACAUAAGAAUACAACAUUCUCAAGUACAGCUGAUACUAGUCAACUAAAUGCACCAAGAUUUUCGCUUCAGAGGCCGACAAAAGGAGAUUAGAUUUGUUUUCAAACAUGGAAGGAUAAUGGAGUUAGAUUGCACCAUGCUCAUCUACAAACUGAGCAAGAUA
rnacentral:misc_RNA from 1 species